rnacentral:rRNA from 1 species
GAUGAACGCUGGCGGCGUGCCUAAUACAUGCAAGUCGAGCGAAUGGAUUAAGAGCUUGCUCUUAUGAAGUUAGCGGCGGACGGGUGAGUAACACGUGGGUAACCUGCCCAUAAGACUGGGAUAACUCCGGGAAACCGGGGCUAAUACCGGAUAAUAUUUUGAACUGCAUGGUUCAAAAUUGAAAGGCGGCUUCGGCUGUCACUUAUGGAUGGACCCGCGUCGCAUUAGCUAGUUGGUGAGGUAACGGCCCACCAAGGCAACGAUGCGUAGCCGACCUGAGAGGGGGAUCGGCCACACUGGGACUGAGACACGGCCCAGACUCCUACGGGAGGCAGCAGUAGGGAAUCUUCCGCAAUGGACGAAAGUCUGACGGAGCAACGCCGCGUGAGUGAUGAAGGCUUUCGGGUCGUAAAACUCUGUUGUUAGGGAAGAACAAGUGCUAGUUGAAUAAGCUGGCACCUUGACGGUACCUAACCAGAAAGCCACGGCUAACUACGUGCCAGCCGCCGCGGUAA